AAUGAACGCUGGCGGCGUGCUUAACACAUGCAAGUCGAACGAGAAAGGGAUUGCUUGCAGUCCCGAGUAGAGUGGCGCACGGGUGAGUAACACGUAGAUAAUCUGCCUUCAAGCCUGGGAUAACUAUUCGAAAGGGUAGCUAAUACCGGAUAAAGUCGAUCUACACAAGUAGAUUGAUGAAAGAUUGCCUCUUCUUGAAAGCAAUUGUUUGGAGAUGAGUUUGCGUACCAUUAGCUUGUUGGUGGGGUAAAGGCCUACCAAGGCAACGAUGGUUAGCUGGUCUGAGAGGAUGAUCAGCCACACUGGAACUGGAACACGGUCCAGACUCCUACGGGAGGCAGCAGUGAGGAAUUUUGCGCAAUGGGGGCAACCCUGACGCAGCAACGCCGCGUGAGUGAAGAAGGCCUUUGGGUCGUAAAGCUCUGUCA
rnacentral:rRNA from 1 species